rnacentral:lncRNA from 1 species
GAGCAUUCCUUCCUGACUGGCGGCCAGAAGCCUGACAGAGAUAUUUUUGCUGACAUUCUUGGGUGUCAGAAGUGGGAUCUGAAGUGACGUUCCCCCCACCACCCUGAGGACCUUUUCCUGCACUGUCCAGAACCAAUGCAUCAGCACCUGCAAGAGCCCCUCAAGCUCUUUUAGUGCUCAGUUGCUCCUUUAUGGUGUUGAGAGACCUGCAGGUAAGUCCUCUGGGAUCCAAGACCUUCCGUGCUUUCAGGCAGAGGCCUUGGAGAGCUUUUUGCCUGAGGGCUUUAGUCCUUCACUAAAGGUUUAGGGAGUCUGCUCUGGUUGUCUGGACACCUUCACUAAAGGUUCAGGGCGAGAGGAGAGUCCAGUCUGGUUGUCUGGACGCCCAGCACUCGUUCCUGUUUCUUGUCACAGCAAGAUAAAGUUUUCAGCUGGAAGUUG